UUCACGCACCUCUCCCGUGUCUUGAAAUCGUACGCACUUUUCGUGUUGUUUUUUGUGUGUGCUGAAUCCUCGACUCGCUCGUGAUAUAAUGUUAAAUGCAUAUUUCUCAAAGUCAAAUUUAGUUUUCCUUUCAUGUUCCGUUCCUUCAGAAUUAUCCGGUUAGCUAACUAACGGACUGUGCAGGGCUGCGUUCCGGACGGACAACGGUUGAUUCGCUUUCAUAAAGGUUUUGUCUCUUGGAAACUGUGAUGGGUGUAGACGAUACCGCCGGCAGACCCCUCCAAUGGCUUGUCCUUUUUGUCUCGAUACUAAGCAGCUGGGGGCGACACAGAGAAUAUUCCAACAGAGAAUCCAGGAGAGAGAGAAGGAGCUGCAGGAUCUGAGACAGGCUGUGCAGUCACUCAAG